UACAGAGGGGGCAAGCGUUGUUCGGAAUUACUGGGCGUAAAGCGCGCGCAGGCGGCUCUUUAAGUCUCGUGGUCAAAUGCCGGGGCUCAACCCCGAGCGUGCCGGGGAUACUGGAGGGCUGGAGACAGGUAGAGGCAAGCGGAAUUCCGGGUGUAGCGGUGGAAUGCGUAGAGAUCCGGAAGAACACCGGAGGCGAAGGCGGCUUGCUGGACCUGGUCUGACGCUGAGGCGCGAAAGCGUGGGGAGCGAACAGG
rnacentral:rRNA from 1 species